rnacentral:tRNA from 1 species
GCUUCUGUAGCGCAGUUGGUAGCGCGUCGCAUUCGUAAUGCGCAGGUCGGGGGUUCGAGUCCCCCCAGGAGCU